rnacentral:rRNA from 1 species
CCAAUGUCAGUAGAGCAUUUGGUGAAUGCCUUGGUAUACGUUUGUUGGCAUAUACGGACAGUAUGAUGUAUUGUCUAAACACCUUAGCCAACUGAAACAUCUUAGUAGCUUUGGAAUCGAAACAAUGCUUGCAUUUCGUUAGUAGUGGCGAGCGAAUGCGAACCAGGCUAGUUUGUGAUAAAUGCUAAUGUUAACUGCCUGGGAAGGCAGGCUUAUGCGGUUGAUAGCCCGUUAGUCAUUAGCAUUUGUAGCAAUUGAAAGUAAAACGGGCCACGUGCAAUCCUGUUUGAAGAUAGGUGGCCCACCCCCUAAGCCUAAACAUUAGCGUAUAACCGAUAGCGAACUAGUACCGUGAGGGAAAGGUGAAAUAGAGCCUGAACAAGGCAGUGAAACAGAACCUGAAACUGGAUGCUUACAAUCAAUCGGAGGGUGAUUAUCACCUAACGAUGUACCUUUUGCAUAAUGGGUCAACAAGUUAAUGUUGUUAGCACAGCUUAAUCAUGUUCACAAGCGAAGCGAAAGCAAGUCUUAAAUGGCUAAAACCCAAUUAGUUUGCAGCAUUAAACCCGAAACUGAGUGAUCUAGCCAUGAGCAAAUUGAAGGCUGCCUGAUGGCAACUGGAGGAUUGAACCCGUGUGUGUUGCAAAAUGCUGGGAUGACUUGUGGCUAGGGGUGAAAGGCCAAUCAAACUCAGAGAUAGCUGGUUCUCUGCGAAACCUAUUUAAGUAGGAUGUCAAGUUGACUUUAACGAGGGUAGAGCACUGGAUGACUGACUGCCUGCUAUGUCAGGUGUUGAUGUUUACCAAACUCCGAAUAUCGUUUAGCAUGCUUGCUUGGCGGUCGCACCUUGGGCACAAUGUCCAUGGUGGAGAGGGAAACAACCCAGACCCUGUGCUAAGGUCCUUAAAUUUGAACUAAUCUUAAGGCCAUGGCCUCCUAUGACAAUUGGGAUGUGGGCUCAGAAGCGGCCAUCAUCUUAGGAAAGCGUAACAGCUCACCAAUCAAUGGACUGUCAUGCCCGUAAAUGUAAUGCUUGGGAAUAAGUUCAAUACCGAAGCUGGGGGUGCAACCUGAUUGGUUGUGCGGUAGCAGAGCGUUCCAUAGGCCGUUGAAGGCUAAGCUAUGAGGCUAAGCUUGAGGCAUUGGAAGCGAUAAUGUUGACAUGAGUAACGUAAAUGAAAGUGAAAACCUUUCACGCUGAAAGGUCAAGGUCUCCUAUCAAAAGGUUAUCUGAAUAGGGCCAGCCGGCCCCUAAGGUAAAGCAGAACUGCAUAGCCGAUGGUAAUCACGUCAACAUUCGUGAGCCAAUUGCCUGCUUGACUUGGCAACAUGGCCGUCUAAUCUGAUUGGAUUGAUUAUGGCGCCCACUAGUCAACUGGAAAACCAUCAGGCUGUUAAUGGCCGUACCGUAAACCGACACUGGUGACCUGGUAGAGUAUACCAAGGCGUAAGAGCUAAUUAUGCUGAAGGAACUCGGCAAACUGCAUGUGUAACCUCGGGAUAAGCAUGGCCAUUGCCUGGGCAACCUAGCAUUGGUAUAAUACAAAUGGGGGGGACGACUGUUUAUCAAAAACACAGGACCCUGCUAAAUUGUAAGAUGAUGUAUAGAGUCUGACGCCUGCCCAGUGCUGACAGGUGAAACAUUGAAUGCAUUAAAUAACGUUCAAUAUAAGCCCCAGUAAACGGCGGCCGUAACUAUAACGGUCCAAAGGUAGCGAAACCCCUUGUCGGGUAAGUUCCGACCUGCAUGAAUGGCGUAACGAUCCCCUCGCUGUCUCCAGCAUAAGCUCUGUGAAAUUGAAUUCCCCGUGAAGAUGCGGGGUACCUACGGCAAGACGGAAAGACCCCGUGCACCUUUACUGCAGCUUUAUAUUGCCAUGCUAACAUUUGCCUGUGUAGUGUAAAUGGCAGACAAUGACACUAGCUAGGUCACAAGCUUGGCCAGUUGAGUCCUCAAUGAAACAUCAUUCUGGUAGUGGGGCAAGGCUUACUAAUGUUUGCCAUUCUUACGUUAGAACCAUGUAUGGCAGGUAGUUUGACUGGGACGGUCGCCUCCUAAAGAGUAACGGAGGUGUGCAAAGGUAGGCUCAGGUCGGUUGGAAACCGAUUGCAGAGCGCAAUGGCAUAUGCCUGCCUGACUGUGAGACAUACAUGUCAAGCAGAGACACAUAGUCGGCCAUAGUGACCCGAUAGUACCAUGUGGAAGGGCUAUCGUUCAACGGAUAAAAGGUACGCCGGGGAUAACAGGCUAAUAACUCCUGAGAGCCCUUAUCGAUGGAGUUGCUUGGCACCUCGAUGUCGACUCAUCGCAUCCUGGGACUGAAGCAGGCCCCAAGGGUAUGGCUGUUCGCCAUUUAAAGCGGUACGUGAGUUGGGUUCAGAACGUCGCAAGACAGUUCGGUCCCUAUCUGCCGUGGGCAUAAGAGCGUUGAUGGGAGCUGUCUCUAGUACGAGAGGACUGAGAUGGACAUACCAAUAGUGUUCCUGUUGUCCUGCCAAGGGCAUAGCAGGGUAGCCACGUGUGGACUAGAUAAUUGCUGAACGCAUCUAAGCAAGAAGCUUACCCAAAGACUAGCGCUCUAGUUUAAAGCUGUGAUAGACUAUCACGCAACAGGUUAGGGGUGUAAGUACAGUAAUGUAUUUCAGCCUACUAAGCGCUGAUCCUUUGAAAGUUGAUUCC